rnacentral:SRP_RNA from 1 species
GCCGGGCGUGGUGGCGGGCGCCUGUAAUCCCAGCUACUGGGAGGCUGAGGCAGGAGAAUGGCGUGAACCCAGGAGGUGGAGCUUGCAGUGAGCCGAGAUCGCGCCACUGCACUCCACCCUGGGCGACAGAGCGAGACUCUGUCUCAA